UUGCAAUGAUGAUGUUGAAUUUCUUCAACUGAAGCUUAAAGUGUGGAACAAACAAUCCGAGUAACACUCGGAAGCCAC